rnacentral:rRNA from 1 species
GACGAACGCUGGCGGCGUGCCUAAUACAUGCAAGUAGAACGCACAGGAUGCACCGUAGUUUACUACACCGUAUUCUGUGAGUUGCGAACGGGUGAGUAACGCGUAGGUAACCUGCCUGGUAGCGGGGGAUAACUAUUGGAAACGAUAGCUGAUACCGCAUAAGAACAUUUACUGCAUGGUAGAUGUUUAAAAGGUGCAAGAGCAUCACUACCAGAUGGACCUGCGUUGUAUUAGCUAGUUGGUGAGGUAACGGCUCACCAAGGCAACGAUACAUAGCCGACCUGAGAGGGUGAUCGACCACACUGGGACUGAGACACGGCCCAGACUCCUACGGGAGGCAGCAGUAGGGAAUCUUCGGCAAUGGGGGGAACUCUGACCGAGCAACGCCGCGUGAGUGAAGAAGGUUUUCGGAUCGUAAAGCUCUGUUGUUAAGGAAGAACGUGUGUGAGAGUGGAAAGUUCACACAGUGACGGUACUUAACCAGAAAGGGACGGCUAACUACGUGCCAGCAGCCGCGGUAAUACGUAGGUCCCGAGCGUUGUCCGGAUUUAUUGGGCGUAAAGCGAGCGCAGGCGGUUAGAUAAGUCUGAAGUGAAAGGCAGUGGCUCAACCAUUGUAGGCUUUGGAAACUGUUUAACUUGAGUGCAGAAGGGGAGAGUGGAAUUCCAUGUGUAGCGGUGAAAUGCGUAGAUAUAUGGAGGAACACCGGUGGCGAAAGCGGCUCUCUGGUCUGUAACUGACGCUGAGGCUCGAAAGCGUGGGGAGCGAACAGG